rnacentral:rRNA from 1 species
AGAGUUUGAUCCUGGCUCAGGACGAACGCUGGCGGCGUGCUUAACACAUGCAAGUCGUACGGUAAGGCCCUUUCGGGGGUACACGAGUGGCGAACGGGUGAGUAACACGUGAGUAACCUGCCCACAACUUUGGGAUAACGCUAGGAAACUGGUGCUAAUACUGGAUAUGUGCUCCUGCUGCAUGGUAGGGGUUGGAAAGCUCCGGCGGUUGUGGAUGGACUCGCGGCCUAUCAGCUUGUUGGUGGGGUAGUGGCCUACCAAGGCGGCGACGGGUAGCCGGCCUGAGAGGGUGACCGGCCACAUUGGGACUGAGAUACGGCCCAGACUCCUACGGGAGGCAGCAGUGGGGAAUAUUGCACAAUGGGCGCAAGCCUGAUGCAGCAACGCCGCGUGCGGGAUGACGGCCUUCGGGUUGUAAACCGCUUUCAGCAGGGACGAAGCUUUUUGUGACGGUACCUGCAGAAGAAGCACCGGCUAACUACGUGCCAGCAGCCGCGGUGAUACGUAGGGUGCGAGCGUUGUCCGGAUUUAUUGGGCGUAAAGGGCUCGUAGGCGGUUGAUCGCGUCGGAAGUGGAAACUUGAUGCUUAACGUUGAGCGUGCUUUCGAUACGGGUUGACUUGAGGAAGGUAGGGGAGAAUGGAAUUCCUGGUGGAGCGGUGGAAUGCGCAGAUAUCAGGAGGAACACCAGUGGCGAAGGCGGUUCUCUGGACCUUUCCUGACGCUGAGGAGCGAAAGCGUGGGGAGCGAACAGGCUUAGAUACCCUGGUAGUCCACGCUGUAAACGGUGGGUACUAGGUGUGGGGUCCAUUCCACGGAUUCUGUGCCGUAGCUAACGCAUUAAGUACCCCGCCUGGGGAGUACGGCCGCAAGGCUAAAACUCAAAGGAAUUGACGGGGCCCCGCACAAGCGGCGGAGCAUGCGGAUUAAUUCGAUGCAACGCGAAGAACCUUACCUGGGCUUGACAUGUUCCCGACGAUCCCAGAGAUGGGGUUUCCCUUCGGGGCGGGUUCACAGGUGGUGCAUGGUCGUCGUCAGCUCGUGUCGUGAGAUGUUGGGUUAAGUCCCGCAACGAGCGCAACCCU